UACGGGGGGGGCAAGCGUUGUUCGGAAUUACUGGGCGUAAAGGGCUCGUAGGCGGCCAACUAAGUCAGACGUGAAAUCCCUCGGCUUAACCGGGGAACUGCAUCUGAUACUGGAUGGCUUGAGUUCGGGAGAGGGAUGCGGAAUUCCAGGUGUGGCGGUGAAAUGCGUAGAGAUCUGGAGGAACACCGGUGGCGAAGGCGGCAUCCUGGACCGACACUGACGCUGAGGAGCGAAAGCCAGGGGAGCAAACGGG
rnacentral:rRNA from 1 species